GACGAGGGGUCCAAGCGUUGUUCGGAAUCAUUGGGCGUAAAGCGGGUGUAGGCGGCUCUAUAAGUCAGGAGUGGAAGCCCCGAGCUUAACUUGGGAAGUGCUUUUGAUACUGCAGAGCUUGAAUGUGGGAGAGGUUAGUGGAAUUCCAGGUGUAGUGGUGAAAUACGUAGAUAUCUGGAGGAACACCGGUGGCGAAGGCGGCUAACUGGCCCAACAUUGACGCUGAGACCCGAAAGCAUGGGGAUCAAACAGG
rnacentral:rRNA from 1 species